rnacentral:rRNA from 1 species
GAGACUCAGUGAAAUUGAAAUCGCCGUGAAGAUGCGGUGUACCCGCGGCUAGACGGAAAGACCCCGUGAACCUUUACUAUAGCUUGACACUGAACAUUGAAUUUUGAUGUGUAGGAUAGGUGGGAGCCUAAGAAGCAGUCACGCCAGUGAUUGUGGAGGCGUCCUUGAAAUACCACCCUUUAACGUUUGAUGUUCUAACGAAGAUUGCGAAACGCGGUCUCGGACAGUGUCUGGUGGGUAGUUUGACUGGGGCGG